GUGCUGAUGGCCAGGGAAGGGCUGUUUCUUGUGCCAACCCUGCUGUGAUUCACAUGAGUCUCUGUUGAUAUGUGUGGUAUUGGAGACUUAAGAAAGCUACAACUCCAGGUGCCAAGCAACAUUGGGAGCAGAGUUUAACUUGUAUUCACUAAGAGGGGAGUCCCUGUUGUCAUGGUGGUUUCAAAGAUAAAGAGACAGAAGUUCCUGGACUGGCUAGAGCUCAUAUGCUAGCCCUCAAGUUCUCUCACAGGUCUGGAAUUCAUUGAUUCAGCUAGACUGACUCACCAGCAAGCUCCAGGGACCCACAUGUCCCUGCAUCCCCUGUGAUGAGAUUACAGGGACACAGAUAUAUGCUGUUCAUAGCAGCAUUAUUCUUAACAGCCAGAACCUGGAAACAACCUAGGUGCCCAUCAACAAAGAAUGGAUAAAGAAAAUGGGUUACAUUUACAAAAUGGAGUAUUACUCUGCUGUAAAAAAACAAUGACUUCAAGAGAUUUGCAAGAUGGAACUAGAAAAAAAAAAACAUGCUGAGUGAGAUAAACCAGACUCAGAAAGACCAACAUGGAAUGUACUAACUCAUAAGUGCAUAUCAGUACAGUAUAGGAUAAACAACUUACAAUCCACAGCCUUAGAGAGGCUGGGUAACAAAGAGAGCUCAAGAGGG
rnacentral:lncRNA from 1 species